rnacentral:rRNA from 1 species
GGGGAGCAGCCCAGAGUCUGAAUCAGCUUGUGUGUUAGUGGAACGGUCUGGAAAGUCCGACGGUACAGGGUGAUAGUCCCGUACACCAAAAUGCACAGGCUGUGAACUCGAAGAGUAGGGCGGGACACGUGGUAUCCUGUCUGAAUAUGGGGGGGACCAUCCUCCAAGGCUAAAUACUCCUGACUGACCGAUAGUGAACCAGUACCGUGAGGGAAAGGCGAAAAGAACCCCGGCGAGGGGAGUGAAAAAGAACCUGAAACCGUGUACGUACAAGCAGUGGGAGCACCUUCGGGUGUGACUGCGUACCUUUUGUAUAAUGGGUCAGCGACUUAUAUUCUGUAGCAAGGUUAACCGUAUAGGGGAGCCGCAGGGAAACCGAGUCUUAACUGGGCGUUAAGUUGCAGGGUAUAGACCCGAAACCCGGUGAUCUAGCCAUGGGCAGGUUGAAGGUUGGGUAACACUAACUGGAGGACCGAACCGACUAAUGUUGAAAAAUUAGCGGAUGACUUGUGGCUGGGGGUGAAAGGCCAAUCAAACCGGGAGAUAGCUGGUUCUCCCCGAAAGCUAUUUAGGUAGCGCCUCGUGAACUCAUCUUCGGGGGUAGAGCACUGUUUCGGCUAGGGGGUCAUCCCGACUUACCAACCCGAUGCAAACUACGAAUACCGAAGAAUGUUAUCACGGGAGACACACGGCGGGUGCUAACGUCCGUCGUGAAGAGGGAAACAACCCAGACCGCCAGCUAAGGUCCCAAAGUCAUGGUUAAGUGGGAAACGAUGUGGGAAGGCACAGACAGCCAGGAUGUUGGCUUAGAAGCAGCCAUCAUUUAAAGAAAGCGUAAUAGCUCACUGGUCGAGUCGGCCUGCGCGGAAGAUGUAACGGGGCUAAACCAUGCACCGAAGCUGCGGCAGCGACACUAUGUGUUGUUGGGUAGGGGAGCGUUCUGUAAGCCUGCGAAGGUG